CCCUUAGAUGUUCUGGGCCGCACGCGCGCUACACUGAUGCGUUCAACGAGUAUACAACCUUGGCUGAAAGGCCUGGGUAAUCUUUUGAAUGCGCAUCGUGCUAGGGAUAGAUUGUUGCAAUUUUCAAUCUUGAACGAGGAAUUCCUAGUAAACGCAAGUCAUCAGCUUGCAUUGAUUACGUCCCUGCCCUUUGUACACACCGCCCGUCGCACCUACCGAUUGAAUGACUCGGUGAAAAAUUGGGACCGUGAAAUUGUUUGCUUCAUUGCGAGUAAUUUUAUGGGAACUUUUUUUAACCUCGCCAUUUAGAGGAAGGCGAAGUCGUAACA
rnacentral:rRNA from 1 species